GACGUAGGGGGCCAGCGUUGUUCGGAAUUACUGGGUGUAAAGGGUUCGUAGGCGGUGCGGCAAGUUGGGAGUGAAAUCUCUGGGCUUAACCCAGAGGCUGCUUCCAAAACUGCUGUGCUUGAGUGUGGGAGAGGCGCGUGGAAUUGCAGGUGUAGCGGUGAAAUGCGCAGAUAUCAGGAGGAACACCCGUAGCGAAGGCGGCACUCUGGGCCGGAACUGACGCUGAGGAGCGAAAGCGUGGGGAGCGAACAGG
rnacentral:rRNA from 1 species